rnacentral:rRNA from 1 species
CCUACGGGGAGCUGCAGUGGGGAAUAUUGGACAAUGGGCGAAAGCCUGAUCCAGCCAUGCCGCGUGUGUGAAGAAGGUCUUCGGAUUGUAAAGCACUUUAAGUUGGGAGGCGUUACCGACAGAAUAAGCACCGGCUAACUCUGUGCCAGCAGCCGCGGUAAUACAGAGGGUGCAAGCGUUAAUCGGAAUUACUGGGCGUAAAGCGCGCGUAGGUGGUUUGUUAAGUUGAAUGUGAAAUCCCGGGGCUCAACCUGGGAACUGCAUCCAAAACUGGCAAGCUAGAGUAGGACAGAGGGUGGUGGAAUUUCCUGUGUAGCGGUGAAAUGCGUAGAUAUAGGAAGGAACACCAGUGGCGAAGGCGACCACCUGGGCCAACUGACACUAAGGUGCGAAAGCGUGGGGAGCAAACAGGAUUAGAUACCCCAGUAGUC